GCAAACUCAGUCUGUCGAAUCGAAUCAUCGAUAAAACAUAAAGAUGAAAAGAUUUGAAGUGAUUUCAAACUGUGAACUGCAUACAGCAAUAGAUCCAGCGUUGAAGACAUCCCUUGUGCAACAAUCAAACGGUAAUCCUGCUGCUCUUUCGCCUACGCUUUGACAAGUCUGGAGAUUAAAACCAAAUCGGAAUCAACUACCAAGUAAGAGCUGAAGCAGAUGAAUUUGCCCAAAACAUGGGGAAAAUUUCUAGAAAAAGAAAGCGCCGACUCCUAACGAGGAAAAUGUUUGUCCGAGAAAGAGAAGAGACCGAUAGACCCGAAGGAAAAAAACAGCAAAUGAGUUGAUUUUCCAGUGCCGGAGAGAAAAGUUCCGGAUGGUUCAGUUCACAAUUCGGGUAAGAAGCAGGAACUAUUUCCUGUCGGAGAUUUUACUCAGUUUCAAUAUUUGUUUUUGAAUACUUUGAUGUUACACUUGAAAUAAAAUGUGAAU